rnacentral:rRNA from 1 species
UACGUAGGGUGCGAGCGUUGUCCGGAAUUAUUGGGCGUAAAGAGCUCGUAGGCGGUUUGUCACGUCUGCUGUGAAAUCCCGAGGCUCAACCUCGGGCCUGCAGUGGGUACGGGCAGACUGGAGUGCGGUAGGGGAGAAUGGAAUUCCUGGUGUAGCGGUGGAAUGCGCAGAUAUCAGGAGGAACACCGGUGGCGAAGGCGGUUCUCUGGGCCUGUACUGACGCUGAGGAGCGGAAGCGUGGGGAGCGAACAGG